rnacentral:lncRNA from 1 species
GAAGGUGGAACGCUCAAAAAGAAACAUAUACGGUUACAGUUUGGUUCUCUUAGAUCACAGAUUCAAUCAAAUCCAAUUCCUUCAAGAGUGAUCUCUGUCUAAUUCGAUAAAUCAUUGUGUGUAACCCGCAAAUAGAUUUAUCUGAUAGUUCUCAUACGAUUCAGAGAUUAAUCCAGAAACCAAAAGGAGGUUGUUGGAGAUGUGGCAAACUGGGGCAUUUCAAGAAAUAUUGUCAUGUGAAGAUUACUAGUGGAAACAAAACUAACAUAGCGGGUCCAAGUGGGUCGAAAGAUCCAAAUGCUUCACAAGAUGACAUGCUUGCAUGGUGGGUAGACUCGGGUGCUACGAGUCACGUUUGCAAGGAUCUCAAAUGGUUUGAGGAAUUUGAACCAACUGAAGAUGGAUCUGUACUAAGGAUGGGAAAUGUUGCAACUGAGCCCAUUAAAGGAGUUGGAAAAGUUAGACUUGUAUUCACGUCUGGAAAACACUUGUUGUUAGAUAACGUGUUGUAUGUACCGGGGAUUCGAAAGAACCUCUUAUCUGGAAUUGUGCUAAACGGUUGUGGUUAUAAACAAGUCAUUGAGUCGGAUAAGUUUAUCUUGUCCCGACAUGGAACCUUUGUUGGAUUUGGAUACUUAUGUAAUGGUAUGUUCAUGCUUAAUAUUAAUGUCCCGUUUGCUGUU